rnacentral:rRNA from 1 species
ACUCAAAGGAAUUGACGGGGACCCGCACAAGCGGUGGAUGAUGUGGAUUAAUUCGAUGCAACGCGAAGAACCUUACCUACCCUUGACAUGUCUGGAAUCCCGAAGAGAUUUGGGAGUGCCCGAAAGGGAACCGGAACACAGGUGCUGCAUGGCUGUCGUCAGCUCGUGUCGUGAGAUGUUGGGUUAAGUCCCGCAACGAGCGCAACCCUUGUCAUUAGUUGCUACGAAAGGGCACUCUAAUGAGACUGCCGGUGACAAGCCGGAGGAAGGUGGGGAUGACGUCAAGUCCUCAUGGCCCUUAUGGGUAGGGCCUCACACGUCAUACAAUGGUCGGUACAGAGGGAAGCCAACCCGCGAGGGGGAGCCAAUCUCAGAAAGCCGAUCGUAGUCCGGAUUGCAGUCUGCAACUCGACUGCAUGAAGUCGGAAUCGCUAGUAAUCGCGGAUCAGAAUGUCGCGGUGAAUACGUUCCCGGGUCUUGUACACACCGCCCGU